UGUCCUGUAGACUGUAAGGCCUCUUAAGCAAGCUACUACAGCUGAUAACUUCCAAAAAAAGCCAGUCCAGAAAUCCAGUUUGAGAAGAUUCUCAGAUGCCACAAGUAUGGAGAGUUGGAGAUGAUGGGGAGAGUUGGUUCAAAACUACUGAUCCAAACUAUGAAGCUGCUGUGAAUGCACCUGGAGAAACUACUGUGGUCCUCUCCAACUCGAGAUCACAUAUGCAGUUGUGUGACCUGCAAAAGAGACUGUGAAGCUUGUAUUAUAAUGACCGUAGCAAGGUUAAUGAAGAGGUCAUCUGAUCUCCCACACAGAAACAACUAUCUUAUAUUGGUUCAGAAAAGCUGUCAUGGCCCUUGCAGAAGCAACAUCGGGAAGCUAUGAACAGCA